AUACGUAGGGAGCGAGCGUUGUCCGGAAUUACUGGGUGUAAAGGGAGCGUAGGCGGGAGUGCAAGUCAGAUGUGAAAUACAUGGGCUCAACCCAUGGGCUGCAUUUGAAACUGCAUUUCUUGAGUGAAGUAGAGGUAAGCGGAAUUCCUGGGGUAGCGGUGAAAUGCGUAGAUAUCAGGAGGAACACCGGUGGCGAAGGCGGCUUACUGGGCUUUUACUGACGCUGAGGCUCGAAAGCGUGGGGAGCAAACAGGAUUAGAUACCCUGGUAGUCCACGCUGUAAACGAUGAUUACUAGGUGUGGGGGGACUGACCCCUUCCGUGCCGCAGUUAACACAAUAAGUAAUCCACCUGGGGAGUACGGCCGCAAGGUUGAAACUCAAAUGAAUUGACGGGG
rnacentral:rRNA from 1 species